CACGGACCACCUUUUCAGUUACCUGUGUUCACGAGCGGAGCACCACCUCCUGUUCAUCACCGGAGAGGCGUGCGUGCCAAGACAGUAUGUAUGUCUCGCUAUGGAUCCUGAUGACAUAGAAGAGCUGGCAAUGGAGUUUCAAGGGAAGACUAUUGGUGGCUGGGGCCUCGUGCAGCUUGCAGCAGGCACAGGUUUUGCUGCCUAUGUUAUGUGGGCAGGAGUUCUCAUGCCUGGCUUCCGCAGAGUGCCUUUAAAGUUACAGGUGCCAUAUGUACCAUCAAGUGCCAAGCAAGUUGAGAAUGUGAUGUCGUUGCUGAAAGGACGCUCUGGGAAGAUGGUGGAUUUAGGGUCAUGAGAAGGCAGAAUUGUAUUAGAAGCAUAUAAACAAGGCUUCAGACCAGCUGUUGGCUACGAACUCAACCCCUGGCUGUUGAGACUCUCCAACUAUCGCGCCUGGAGGGCUGGGUGUUACGGGAAGGUUUUCUACCAACGGCAAGAUCUAUGGAAGGUAAACCUGUCUGACUGCAACAACAUCUCUAUGUUCCUAGCUCCCAGUGUGAAAGUAUCAAAGAGAGCACUGCCACGGAGUUCCGUCUGCAACCGAGGAUGGUGGAGAAGGAACUGAGUGGACGGUCAGGGGAGUACGUGCUACAGGAGGUGCCAACGGCUGCAUGAGAGGACUCCUGUGCAUGCCCUCCCCCCGACUGAGUACUGCUGCGAGAAAUCUCUGAUCUCCGGCGCAGGGACGCACCGACACCUAGAGUGGAGCACCCACAGGGACACCACUCGAAGAAGAACUGACAUUUCCACUCACAUACGUUUUUGUGUUAAAUUAUUUCAGUCAGCAUGGCCUCUCCUGUCCCUAUUUAGUACCUUAUCCCCAAACAGCUGAAGCAAGUCCUGGAUCCAUAGUGUAAUGCAGAGGGAUGAAGGAGGCAGCCACCUUUGACACGGAGAUUACAAUACCAAUUACAUAAAUGGAAGCUACUUACUGGUGAAGGGAUGGUCCUAGCGCAGAGCUUUCACUCAGUCUUUUCUGUAGGCAAAGGAAGAACAUCAUCUUUGUGACAUUAACCCAAUGGAAUCCCUGUUUCUUUGCAGGGCCAGCAUUGGACAUCUCAGUAUGGUAAAUGGCCACCACUGACACUAAUAAGGAAGUGCUCUGCAAGAUGUUCUCAAGGCUUGUGGCUCUCUCUCUCUCUACUGGGAAGUAAAAGGUAGCUCAUUUGAGCUAAGACCUUAGGAACAUAACUGCUCUUGGGCAAAAUUAAGGGGAGGAAAUGGAUAAAAUUGGAACCUUUCCAUGUAUUGUCUGCCAUUCAACUCCUUGUAUAUUUUAUUUUGCCAAGACAGUAAAGCUUCCAAGGGUAGUGAAAUCUUUGCUCUGCCCUCUCUUGCCUCCCUGGCUUUUCUUCAAAAAGUGAGGCUGCAACUAUAGUAUCCUUAAGGUAGUUAUGGACUAUUCAUUCCUUGGCUUCCUCCAUGAUCCCCAGACUGAAGAACAACCUUCCCCCACAGAUCUCUUUGUCAUCCCUGCAACCUCUGCAGUGUGCAAACCUACACACUGCAGAGGUCCAGCAGGUGCUACUAUACUAGACAUGACAGCUGUUGUCAGGUGUCUCACCUCUUCACAGUUGUCACAAGGAGAGGCACAAAGGGAUGGAGAGCAUGGGCCAUCCCUGGUGCUGCCCCCCAGAAGGGCAGCCUGGGUUACAACGAACACUAGAGCAGUGGUUCUCAACCUGUGGCCCAAUCAGCACACAGCUGCAGCCCAUGUAACAUCCUCAGGGUCAUACAUGUAGUAUUGGAUGUGGCCCAUAAUGGUAAAUAGGUUGAGAACCACUGCACUAGAGGAUCAAGAGGGGAAAAUGAGAUCAAACUGAACCUCUCCCUCCACCUGACAAGUCCACUCCCUGCACAACAGUAAUCCAGUGAAGCAUGUGGUUACCA